UGGGGUGUGGUUCAGUGGUAAAGCGCCUGCCUCGAAUGCAUGGGACAAUGGGUUUGACCCCCAGCACUGCAA
rnacentral:tRNA from 1 species